AAAUGUGGGAACUUCGCAGUCCUGGUGGAUCUUCAUGUAUUGCCACAAGGUUCAAACAGAGACUCCAGUUGGUUUUCUGAAAAGAAGAAAGAGGGAGUUUGUUUGCUGUUAAAAGAAACCAUUGAUUCUAGAGUUAAGGAGUACGUGGGCAUUUAUAAGCAGCGCAAGCCAUCAAGUGCAGAAUUCACAAGAUCCAGUCCCUUGUCCUUAAAAGGUUAUGGCUUUCAGAUCACAGCUUAUUUCCUCAAGAGAGGAAUACACCUUCACUGUAUCCAGAGCUCCCAGAAUACUGUGUGAGAAGAACUAAAUCAAAAGGCACUGAUGUAAGCAAACCACAGCCCGGCAGGGACCUCGUGGGAAGAUCUAGUGACUCAGUAAUUACUGUGGUACCAUGGAGGAGGGAUGCCUCGGCCAUUCUCCUGUCAGAAUCUGUGGGUCAAGCACAAGAUGACAUAAGAGCAGCCAAGAGCCACCAGGAGCUUCCUGUUCAAAAGUUGGAAAAUGUUUCUCAGACUCAGCCAGGAGACACUCGCAGCCAGCAGCAACUUCAUCCUGGGGAGUGGUUAAAGACGGGGCUUCUAAGCAGGAGCCCUGUGUAUAACUAUGAGUCAGCAUCACCAGGUCCAAAGCAAAGUCUGAGAGCAAAGACACAGCAGAAACACAGGAAUUGUGGCUCUGUGGAAGACUCUGACCACCGCAGAAGAGUUUCUCUUGGAAAUGAAGGAUUAGUCCCGAAGGACUCGGCCGGGUAAAGGAGCGUACCUGUCAGGGUUUUGCCCGUCUUAGAGUUGUCAGAUCCUGGGUUGCUUUUGAAACAAGAUUUGGCAAAAGCCACAGCUAAGGAAGAACUACAUGCUUUGGAAAAUCUCUCCUCCAGACAUCUUAUGACAAACAACCCGGGGCAGGCACAGCAGACCGACUCAGCUGCAAUUACUGAACGAUUAGCUACAGAUCAGGGCGGCCCCAGCAAGAAAAGAAAGAAACUGCAAAGUUACAACAGAGGAUGUAGUGGCAAAAAAACGGAGGAUACAGUACCUGGAGUACUGGAAGGAAUUAGGGCAAUUACUUUAAAUAAAUAAAUAUUUAGGAGCUAGAGUUAUGUCUCAGCUUUUAAGAGCACUUAGUGCUCUUGCAGAGGACCCAAGUUUAGGUUCCAAGCACCUAGAAGGUGACUUACAACCAUCGUGAACUCUAGACCCAGAAGACCCAAUACACUCUUUGACCUCCAUGGGCACCAGGCAUGCGCAUGGUAAUCUUUUUGUAAAAUUGAAAUGGACUAAAGUUGAAAACAGCUCCCUAGAACUUACAUCCUACAGCCUAGUUACCAUGGUUUCCAUCAGCUGGGGACACAUGUGGAAAUGUACACCCCCGUGCUUCCUUCAGACUUGGAUUUGGGGUGUGAGUCACUUUGUUCCCAGGUUCAUAUACUAUAGAAUGGACACAAUGCCUAAGUCGCUCUUAUAUCUGGAGUUACCAGAAAUGUAUGCGUAAUUCAUCCCAGUCUGAGAUGAAGACAUGGAAGAGGUGUGUCCUGUGUAGCACAAGUUCGACCCUGUCCUUGUCCACACCCCCCAUAUUCUGGUUGCAGUUAAGACAGACCAGAAUCCAAAGCUAGGGCAGUGGCCAUUCCAGUUCCCAAUUUGGAAAAUUUCCCAGGGCAUUUAAAUGUCCUCUUCAGUUGUGUAGUCAGUCCUCAAGAAAGACAGGAAGCCAGAGUUAUCAGCCUGGACGCUUCAUCUGCUCACCCCAACCUCAAAGGACCAGAAACUGCUUGCUGGUGUCCCUCUCCUUUCCCGCCUAGCUUUUUUUGUUUUCUUGAGAGCUGAUUCCAAGAUGUUGAGUCCUCAAUGUAAGCAUGAGUAGUCACCAUUGUACAGAGCUAAGAUAUUCUGACCUGGAAUAGACGGGAUUUGAAUUGUUUAAGGGCUAAGGUCAUAUUCUGUACUUAAUUGUACUUAUACGAAGAAUGUGCUUUCAAGAAGUGUUUUGCUUUUCAAAUCUGUUCCAUUAUAUUAUAGGAAAGAGUGAUUAUUGUGACCAAUGAUUUAUUAAAAAGAAAAAGUAUGUUAGGGUUGUAGAUAGAUGUGGCUUUGUAGCAGCCUUCAUACACAAUGGAUUUUAACAGGAUUAGCAGAGCUCUGGGCUUCCAUACUCUGCCAUAUGUUUAAGGAAUUUUGCCCUUAAUCAUUUUCCUUCAGCAUGUUUGAAACACCUCUCCAUGUCCUGUUUCUUGGAUGAUUUUACAAUUCCUUGAAUAUAUGCAUAAAGGGGCAAAUUAAUCCCCAAUGUUUUGUUACUUAUCAGGUGGGACAUGAAUUAUUGUCUCCUGUUGGGAAUGGUAUGAGUUUUUAUAUUCUUAAUUACUGUAACAAUUUAGCAUUUGAAAGUCUGAGGCAGUGUCAGGAUUGAUAGUCAAAACCAAGUUCUUCAACCCUUUCAUCCUCCAAAUUAAAUGUAUAUUUAGGUUCCUGUGAUUCUGAUUCUGAGAGGAAGUAUUCACCCAAUCCGUGGAUAACUGAACUCAAGACUCCUCAGUACCUGCGAUGCUAAGCCCCUCCAUGUACUAUCAAAUGACAUUUCAAUAGAUGAAAGCUAGUGAGGUCCUUUUGUAUUUUCUUUCUUUCUCCCUCCUCCCCCAAUUUAAAAACAUGGAAAAGGUGGCCUGGUGGCACAUGCCUUUAAUCCUAGCACUUGGGAGGCAGAGGCAGGUAGAUCUCUGAGUGGGAGGCCAGACUGGUCUACAUAAUAAGUUAGUGAACAGACAAAACUACAUAGUGAGACCUUGUCUCAGAACAAACAAACAAAUCAGUAUGGGAAUCAUCUGUGAUUUUUCUUGCAUACGUGCUUUUCUUUGCCACUGGAGGUUAACUCACCAAGACAUGCAUAUGACUUGUGCAGUGUAAAGAAGCACUUGGUGCUGGAAUAGUAUGGAAAUGUAUUUAAUUUUUUAAAAAACAAGACCCAUGAGUCUUGAAUACUUGGUGAAGGGGGUGUUCUGCAUGUGCAGUGACCACUAAGACACCAAUAAGAAAGAAAAAGACACAAAAAGUCUCCGUAUUUUGAUGUUUGAAGAAUCCAGUUCAUCUCUGGAUGGACCUUCUCAAAGUGGAUCUUAGUGGUGAUGAUGCAGUCUCAGUAUAAUUGUUUUAUGUUUGAUGUCAUGUUUUGAUUUCAGCUGAAAUUGUACCUCUCAUUGGCCUUUGACUUCAGAAAAAGCCCCGACUAGGACAGACACAUAGGGAAGGAAGCAUCUAUGCCCAAGAGAAUGACCUAGGAUCAGUGUCAGCCUUCGUAGUUUUUUUAAGCUCCUUGGCAGGUCGUACUGUAAUAUUUCCACAAAACAGUAGUGAAUGGCCCUCUGAAUAAUAAGCAACUUUUCAAGAGCCAAAACACUCACUGUGCAGCAUGCUGGGGCUGGAAUAUGGAAAUUGUUUUAAUUUCUUCUUUUCUCUUAUGAGGAAAUCACUGCACUUGGUUUGUCAAGACAAGACAGUUCAUUCCCCUGUACUGAAACAGUGAUGAAUUGAAACAUGUUGGAGCAAGUUUUUAAAGAAAAUCAAAAUUAAACUGGUUUUUCUUAAAUAGCUUAAAGCUUUCCACAGUACACAAUAAAUGAAGCAUUGUAAAAUGAAGUGAAUGCAAAUAACCACUUAAGACAGAAGUCUAAGCAGAUACAUAUACAUAUACAUAUACAUAUACAUAUACAUAUACAUAUACAUAUACAUCAUCAGCCUUGCAGUUCCAGGCUAUAAUUCAUUCUCAGAAACCUGCUGAAUUCCCUUUAAUUUUGUUUCUAUAUAUACUUAAGACAGGGAGCAAAUGUGUGUCAAUAUGUAGCAUGACAAAGAGAACUUGGGUGAAGUUUUCUACUUUGAGGACCCAUUGGGACUGGGCUUGAAAUAUCUCUGGGUAAGUCUCAUAUGUGGCACAGUGUCCCCACACUACAUUAAGGCUUCCAUAACCAUUCUAAGCAAAGACUGAGCUUUUGUUUAUUGAAGUAAAAUCAGUAAAAGCGUGCAGUUGGCUCCCCAAGGCAGAUGACCGGUGCUAACAUUCUCAGAAUGAGUUUCCAGAUGGAAUUAGACAGUACCACAAUCUCCAGGAGAGCCCUGGUCCUCUCAUUCAAGUAUGUUUAAUAGACUGAGCGUCCACAGAAUAAAAACACUUUUGUAGUGAAAAUGUACCUGUUUUAUGAAUAAACGUGGGUUUUGUGAAUUUAAAAAAAAAAAAAAAAAAA
rnacentral:lncRNA from 1 species